GUGGGGAAUCUUGCGCAAUGGGCGAAAGCCUGACGCAGCCAUGCCGCGUGGAUGAUGAAGGUCUUAGGAUUGUAAAAUCCUUUCACCGGUGAAGAUAAUGACUGUAGCCGGAGAAGAAGCCCCGGCUAACUUCGUGCCAGCAGCCGCGGUAAUACGAAGGGGGCUAGCGUUGCUCGGAAUUACUGGGCGUAAAGGGAGCGUAGGCGGACAUUUAAGUCAGGGGUGAAAUCCCGAGGCUCAACCUCGGAACUGCCUUUGAUACUGGGUGUCUUGAGUGUGAGAGAGGUGAGUGGAACUCCGAGUGUAGAGGUGAAAUUCGUAGAUAUUCGGAAGAACACCAGUGGCGAAGGCGACUCACUGGCUCAUUACUGACGCUGAGGCUCGAAAGCGUGGGGAGCAAACAGGAUUAGAAACCCCGGUAGUCC
rnacentral:rRNA from 1 species